rnacentral:rRNA from 6 species
AGUUGACCUCGGAUCAGGUAGGGAUACCCGCUGAACUUAA